UUGUUUCCCUUCAUUCGGCCGAGCACCAUCUUUGAAAAAAAAAAAAAAUCUUCGGCUAGUUUUUCUGACGAAUCAACACUCUUACUCUCUUCCUCUCAUUCUCUUGAGCAUGGUGGUGAAGCAUCCUUCAAGAGGAAGGAAAUUGCCAAAAAGUGAGCACAUCUCGAGGCGAGACGACUAGUUUUAUUGCGAUGUUGGACUGGGUUGUGUUGGGCAGGCAAUAGACUGACUUAUCUUUUCCCCUUGUUUAGGUUAGUUGCACUGCGGAUGUAAACUCUAUGGAUCCACUAGACUUGACUUUUGUGCAAUGUUCCUGUAUUUGUAUUUUUUUAGUUGUAUUUGGAACCCUGGCUGGUUCUGUUGUGGAUUUUGUCUCCUUCUUUAGUAAGUUGUGUUAGCAGUUUGUUUUGAGGCUUACGGUGACUAGGAAGUGGGACGCUGUAGGAUUCACUUUUUGUUGUCGUGGCGAUUGCCACGUGCCUGGCUAAGGAU